UCCGUCCAGAAACUGCUCCUU
rnacentral:misc_RNA from 1 species